CAGAACGGGGGAGAACAUGGAGGCCGGGUACCUGGAGGAGAAGACUCAUGGGGACCGGCGAUCAUCGCAGACAUCCAGCGGAGAUGCCGACUCAGCGGUGGGUGCCAGGCAAUAUGUGGCAGCCGACUCCUGCUGCCGAUGAUACUCAGCACAGCUGUGGCGCCAGCCGUGUUUGUUGAAGAAGGCGUCCAAGGAGGUUUCCAAGAAAACCAUGACCACUGUGUCCUCCAACAUCACUACUGCCUCCUCCAAGGAGACCGCCAUUACCGCCUCUGGUCACUAGAUUAUCC